GAGCUACUGAAAGGUAAAAGGAAAAAAAAAGUAUGAUAUGAUAUCACAGAAGCCAAGAGAAGUUAGAAUUUCAAGAAGAAAGGUCUGGUCAACUCAACAAACAUUCGCUACUCUAUGCACGUCACUAUGUUAAUAAUAUCAAACUGUGCAGUGGAUAAGGUUUGGCAGGCCGGAUGUCUAACAGUCAGCAGCCUCCAUUGGAACAGCCAUUAAGAACCCAGGAUAAUCUCCUCACUACAAGAUGGAAUCAGAGGGAGUUUACAUAAUGCAUCAAAACAAUUCUUGGCUCCAUAGUCUGAGAAGCUUUUAAAGAUCACUUUCCCACAACAGUUUCUGAGAGUUUCAAUGCAAGGAUUACCAAAUUUGAGUCACAGGACCUGCGUUCAAGUUCAAACUCUACUACUGUGUGACCUUG